GACGAACGCUGGCGGCGUGCUUAACACAUGCGAGUGGAGCGACGAACCAGGGCUUGCCCUGGGGCAGAGCCGCGAACGGGUGAGUAACACGUGGGUAACCUACCCCGAUGACCGGGGCAACCCGAGGAAACUCGGGCUAAUACCGGAUGUUGUCGUUUUCUCUAAGGAAACCGACUAAAGAUAGCUUCGGCCUUCGCAUCGGGACGGGCCCGCGGCCCAUUAGCCUGUUGGUGGGGUAACGGCCUACCAAGGCGACGAUGGGUAGCUGGUCUGAGAGGACGAUCAGCCACACUGGGACUGAGACACGGCCCAGACUCCUACGGGAGGCAGCAGUGGGGAAUCUUGCGCAAUGGGCGAAAGCCUGAUGCAGCAACGCCGCGUGGGGGAAGAAGGCCUUCGGGUUGUAAACCCCUUUCAGUUGGGACGAAGCUUCCAGAGUUAAUAGCUUUGUGGAGUGACGGUACCUUCAGAAGAAGCCCCGGCUAACUACGUGCCAGCAGCCGCCGUAAAAC
rnacentral:rRNA from 1 species